rnacentral:lncRNA from 1 species
CCCCAGAGCAGCCUCAAGGUCCCCAAGGUGUCCCCAGGGUGGUCCUGGGGUCCUCGAAGUUCCCAGGGUGGCCCCAAGGUGGCCCUGAGGUGGCCCUGAGGUGGCCCUGGGGUCCUCAGAGUGGCCUCAGGGUCCCCAAGGUGUCACCGGGAUGGCCCCAAGGUGGCACCAGGGUGGUCCCAAGGUGGUCCUGGGGUCCCCAAGGUGGCCCCAAGGUGGCCCCAGGGUCCCCAGGGCAGCCUCAAGGUCCCCAAGGUGUCCCCAGGGUGGUCCUGGGGUCCUCAAAGUUCCCAAGGUGGCCCCGAGGUGGCCCUGAGGUGGCCCCGGGGUCCUCAGGGUGGCCCCAGGGUCCCCAAGGUGGCACCGGGGUGGCCUCAAGGUCCCCAAGGUGGCACCGGGGUGGUCCUGGGGUCCUCAAAGUUCCCAGAGUGUCCCCAGAGUGUCCCUGGGGUGUCCCAAGGGUCCCCAGAGUGUCCCCAAGGUGUCCCCAGGGUGGCCCCAAGGACAGGCAGCGACCCCCAGGCUGGGGACAAGGGGCUGGAGGUCCCCAAAGUGUCCCCAAAGUGUCCCUGGGUCCCUCUGUGGGGACAGGGGGUGACCUGAGGGUCCCCAAAGUGUCCCCCAGUCUGGCCAGUGACCCCCUGGAUGGGGACAAGGGGCUGGGGGUCCCCAAAGUGUCCCCAGAGUGUCCCCAGAGUGUCCCCAGACCCCUCUGGCGAGGACAGGGGGUCCCCAAAGUGUCCCCAGGUCCCUCUGGGGAGGACAGGAGGGGUCUGGCUGUCCCCAAAGUGUCCCCAAAGUGUCCCCGUGGGAGCCCGCGGUGUCCCCGGGGCUGUGCGGAACUCAAUAAACUCCUCCCAGUUCCUCCCAGUUCCUCCCAGUCCCUCCCAGUUCCUCCCAGUUCCUCCCAGUUCCCCCCAGUUCCUCCCAGUUCCCCCCAGUCCCUCCCAGUUCCUCCCAGUUCCUCCCAGUCCCUCCCAGUUCCUCC